rnacentral:rRNA from 1 species
UACGUAGGGUGCAAGCGUUAAUCGGAAUUACUGGCGUAAGCGUGCGCAGGCGGCUUUGCAAGCACAGAUGUGAAAUCCCCGGGCUCAACCUGGGAACUGCAUUUGUGACUGCAUGGCUAGGAGUACGGUAGAGGGGGAUGGAAUUCCGCGGUGUAAGCAGUGAAUGCGUAGAUAUGCGGAGGAACACCGAUGCGAAGGCAAUCCCCUGGACCUGUACUGACGCUCAUGCACGAAAGCGUGGGAGCAAACAGG